UGGAAGAUGUUAGGAACCACCGCAGCGCCACCAAUAGCGGAAGGCAGAGCCAGAGAGCUAUAACAGUGGACCACGCACGCCAAUAGGCUCACAUAAGACAAACAAUCUCAAGUUUAUGUCCGCUUGUGCAUUUUAAAGACUUAUGUAUCCAGAAGUUUGACUGUUUUUCAUUUCAUUUGCGCCAAUCGACAGGAUGAUGCUGAAUAAUCGGUCUGAGAAAGUUUCCCACUGAUGUCAGCCGGGUAUUGGGAAUAGUUGGCGAUGGGCCAGGUGAGUAGCGUUGGGGGGAUGGAUGAGGAGUCCGACCAGAAGAGUGAUGACAACACCUGCAUUCCACAGGACUCUCUGAGCGGAGAGGAGGGGAUGAGUGAGGAGGAGAGGAACAGGAGGAGAGCAGAA